rnacentral:rRNA from 1 species
GAUGAACGCUGGCGGCGUGCCUAAUACAUGCAAGUCGAGCGAACAGAUGAGGAGCUUGCUCCUCUGACGUUAGCGGCGGACGGGUGAGUAACACGUGGAUAACCUACCUAUAAGACUGGGAUAACUUCGGGAAACCGGAGCUAAUACCGGAUAAUAUAUUGAACCGCAUGGUUCAAUAGUGAAAGACGGUUUUGCUGUCACUUAUAGAUGGAUCCGCGCCGCAUUAGCUAGUUGGUAAGGUAACGGCUUACCAAGGCAACGAUGCGUAGCCGACCUGAGAGGGUGAUCGGCCACACGGGAACUGAGACACGGUCCAGACUCCUACGGGAGGCAGCAGUAGGGAAUCUUCCGCAAUGGGCGAAAGCCUGACGUAGCAACGCCGCGUGAGUGAUGAAGGUCUUCGGAUCGUAAAACUCUGUUAUUAGGGAAGAUCAAAUGUGUAAGUAACUAUGCACGUCUUGACGGUACCUAAUCAGAAAGCCACGGCUAACUACGUG